AACACUGGCCGGCAAGGCGCUCGCAGCUGCCAUUUUGUCCGUCUUCCUGCCGCCGCUUGCCGCCCGUGUGUUCGUUGAUGAGGUGGAACACAAAGAGUGCGUAAGAUUUCGCGCAUAGGCUGCCAAGUUUUUCCACAUUGAAUUGGGGCUACAAGAACGGCCUCACCAUGAACUACGGCAGGGCGCCGCCUCAGAUCGACGGCAUGACGUCGUUGAAGGUGGACAACCUCACUUACCGCACCACGCCGGAGGACCUGAAGCGGGUCUUCGAAAAGUACGGGGACGUCGGCGACGUCUACAUACCGCGGCAUCCCUACACGCGUGAAAGCCGCGGAUUCGCAUUCGUGCGAUUCUACGACAAACGUGACUGCGAGGACGCCAUGGACUCGCUGGACGGCUACAUCUUGGACGGCCGCGAACUGCGCGUCCAAAUGGCGCGCUAUGGGCGGCCAUCGGACCCGCACCGCCAGUCGUCGUCGCGAAACGCCAGACCGAGCCGCCGUUCGAGGUCGAGGAGCCGUGGUCGUAGAUCCAGGAGCCGACGGCGUUCGUCAUCUAGAAGCCGUAGGCGGUCCAGGAGCCGGUCCCGGCAUCGCCGAUCAAGCUCCCGAUCUCGCAGGUCCAGGAGUCGUUCAAAGGAGCGCAGGCGUUCCCGUAGCCGCUCUCGCAAGAGCCGGAGCCGGUCCAGGGAUCGCCGCAACAAGAGUCGCAGCAAGUCGAGAGACCGCAGUCGUAGCCGUUCACGAAACCGUGAAGUAAAGAGGAGUCGUUCCAAGUCAAGGAACAGAAGUCGCUCAAAAUCCAGAGAUCGUAGCCGAUCUAAGGAACAUGUAGCAAAAUCCAAGCGACGCAGCCGCUCAAAGUCAAAGGGUCGUCGCAGUCAGUCGAAGUCCAAGGAACGUAGUCGGUCCAAGUCUAAAGAACGGAGCCAAUCAAAGACGAAGGAUUAUCGCUCCAAGUCUGGCGAACGCAGCCACAGUAAAGAUCGCAGCCGAUCCAAAUCCAAGGAACGUGGUGAAAGCAAGCACAAGAGCCGAUCAAGAUCUGCAGAACGCAGUCAGAGCCAGCGACUGAGCCGAUCCAAGUCCAAGGAACGCAGCCGCUCAAACUCCAGAGACCGCAGCCGAUCCCGGGGCAAUAGUCGCAGCCAGUCCAAGGAACGCAGUGACAGCAAGUCACGUCGUAGCCGCAGCAGGAGCCUCCAUGACAGCAAGCAGCGGGAUCGCAGCCGUAGUCAAUCCCACAACGGAGAUGGCCGAAGCCCAUCACGGAGCCCAAGGAAGGUGGUUGAUGACAGGGCUGAUUCGAGGUCGCGGUCAAGGUCACGCAGCCCAGGAGAUAAGCACAGUUCACCGCCUCCAGAUCCAGCAGAGUCCAACGGUGAACGUGAGAUGCGCUCACCCGAACGAGACCGCCGCUCUCGAUCCAAAUCGCAGGACUCCGACUGAGACAUGCCCUGAGGUGUGAGGGCGUUGGUAAAAGGCGUUGGUGGCUCUGUCGAAAUGGCGGGACACCAUGUACGAGUUCCAGCUGCGCUGAGUUCGGGCGGUGGUUUCCAGAGUGCGGGGACGUGUGCUGAAGCUUGCGUGCAACCCCCAACCCACUUGCUCAUCACCUCCAGGCUGUCUUUUUUUUUUUUUCCCAGCCAUUUGCCUCCUCCCGACUAAAUUUCAAGGACAAGUUGUAUUUGCAGAGAAAUUGGCAAAUAUCAAAGAAAGAAAUUUAAGAAGCUGAAGUUUGCUUAUGCUGGGCAAACAUGUAGCUUUAGGCUUUAGUUACGUCAAGUGGGGGGAAAUUACUUGGUUGAUCUCAGUGGGGGUUAACACCCUUCCUUAUAAGCGAUUACACUUUAUACAAUUGCUAGCUUUCAGCAGUAAUGCAGCUUCUGAUUAGUUGUGCUGGUGUGUGCAAGCAAAAAUUUUAAACUCAGGCUUGAUACUGGUAAAAGCACACGCUCGGUAUUGCAAGCAAAAUUUUUAACUGCAGGCUCGAUACUUGUAAGAGCACACUAUUCGUUCUUCAAAUCGUUAGUACUUGGUCCUUUGAAGUAGACUUUUUAUUUUUGUUGAAUGCCUGAUGUCGUAACUGAACAACCGUUUCAAAGGUACCACUUGAGCAGCAAAGCCUGGUUGCUCGAGGCAGCUCGCAAGAGACCAAGAAGGCCGAGCGAGCGGUUUGGGGGGCAGAAGGGUGUUGGCGGUCCGGCGGGCGGUUUCGGGUUCCCUGUGGCGGUGGUUUGCGGCCGGAGCGGUGGCAUGCUGUUGGGUGGUGCCGGUGUGUUGCUGAUGAGCAGCGUUGCUGUGCGAGAAAACCGGCCGGGAUCCCUACCCGAGGGUGCGGGUCGUGUAGCAGCCCGGCAGUAGUUCCGGCUCGUGUUCCAGCUUUGCCUCGUGCGAUGGCGUUGCGGCGGUCCUGGCACAUUCGCUGUCCUGUGGUGCCGAGUUCCGCGUGGUGGGGCAUUUGCCGAAGGAGGGAGCUGUGUGGUUUGGUGCCACUUUCUUUUUUUUUCCAUCUCUCUUUACCUCUAGGUGCGUCGUCCCUGAAGACCAAAAGCAGCUUGCGAGCAAGAAGUUUCGGAGUAGAGUAUGCAGAACGACUUUGUUUUUCUUUGGUGCCAGAGCUUGAGCUGGAUUUGUCCAGAGUAGGGCUUAUUUCCCAUCACUUGAUUAGUAUGUGUAGUUCAUACCUGAAAUUUGAGCAUUGAACAUAAAAUGUCAACUUUGUGCUGCUUCUGAAACACUCUGAAAUCAAGCAGCGUCAGAAUGAAGGUUUAAAUUGCCGGCAUUGUUGAGAGGAAGCACCAGCUGGUCACAAUUUUUGGUCAUACUGCUGUUGCAGAACUGAAUGUGCUGUGUGCAAGUAUCAACUGCAAUGAUGCACUGUUGCUGGUGCAUUUUGUAACAGGCUUUUGAUGCCACCUUGACUACACAACGUAACUAGCUUUAAAACAGUCUAGCUUUCAAACAGUUCACAUAAAGUGGGAAAAUCAAAAUUUGUUUCAAAACUUCGGUGUAUUGGCUCAUUUUCCCCAUUCACAAAGUCUACUGUAAAGCAGGCUUCGUGUGUCUGCAUGCUCUGCUCAACAUUGGUCGUGUGGUUUACCAUAGUUCAAAAAUUGCCAUCGAAUAAAAGUCUUCAGCUUUAA
rnacentral:misc_RNA from 1 species